rnacentral:snRNA from 1 species
CGCCUCUAAGUCAGAAUCCGGGC